rnacentral:rRNA from 1 species
UACGUAGGGGGCUAGCGUUAUCCGGAAUUACUGGGCGUAAAGGGUGCGUAGGUGGUUUCUUAAGUCAGAGGUGAAAGGCUACGGCUCAACCGUAGUAAGCCUUUGAAACUGGGAAACUUGAGUGCAGGAGAGGAGAGUGGAAUUCCUAGUGUAGCGGUGAAAUGCGUAGAUAUUAGGAGGAACACCAUUUGCGAAGGCGGCUCUCUGGACUGUAACUGACACUGAGGCACGAAAGCGUGGGGAGCAAACAGG